UCAUUGUGUUUGUGUUAGAAUAUAUGUUCAAUCUUGUACCUCAACUUCUGAAGCAGCGGGAAAGAACUAGAAUUGGAAAUGCAUUUGGGGUCCAAGGAGCUUGAGGUGAAUCGAACCAAGUGCUUGUAGGGGCCAAUAUCUCUUGGAAUGGACUCUUCCAUAUCAAAGAUACCAUAUGGAUCUUGUUGCCUUGAAUCUUUCUGCAACAUAAGGCUUGCUUUUGUAUUUAAGCUUGUCUCAGCUCUGAAGCUCAGAGAAAAAUUCGCAGACCUUGAAAUGGGACCUGAUUUCUCAAGUUCCAUGGCUCUUGAUGUAUGGCAACUAAAAUGGGACGGAGGGAGUAUAUAGUUGACUCUGAAAUUCAGAAUAUAACCGUACAAAGCUCAGUAAUUGGAUAGUACAGGAAGUCUCCUCUUAUACAGAUUGUUGGCAUGAAAAGUUUGACGCAAUAAUCUCCUUUUUAUGCUGUAACUGAUAUAAAAGAUUCUAUUAACAAAUGUGUUGGAAUCCAACUCUCGAUGCAAGGGAUCACAGAACAAAAAUCACCCUUUACACUUACAAGUAGAGAUUUAUUUUGUAUUACUAAUAGGUGUACUGGUAUGCCAUGCCAGGACGGCAGGACCCUUAAGGCCUUAAGCAACAUACCAUCCAUCCAACCGCUGGACGAGGUUAUUUUCCCCGUCCAGCGGUUAAAAACGCUGAACGUAUUAAAAUUUUGUCAUGGCCAGAAAAUGAUAUGUUGGUUAGGGGCUUCCUGACGUACAUCUGUGAGAGACCAAGACCCUACUAAUAGAUAUGUAGUUGUAUAUGUAGUGAAUUAUAAAGUUACGGAAACAUUAUGAUUUUACAUGGACAACAGAUACUGAAACUCAAACUCAUAAGGAAUCUUAUCAACAACCCGUGAUAGCUUGCCACUGCUAAGCCCUCUGAAGCAAUCCACCAUUGAUUUCCUUAAUGACCCUGAUGCUGGUAGUUGGUGACACACCCAUUCCACUAAUGAUUCCAUGUUAUUCUUACUAUUUUGCCCAAUUAAUUCAUGCAUAUUCCUGAUUAGUAGCUCAGGGAUCAAUACCCUCUUGCUGCUUGUCACCACAAUCGAAGCUUGCAGGUAUUCUAACUUUGUUCUCUCCAAUUCAGCUAGCACAUCACUUGUAUAAAUUUUCACCUGCAGAAAAAAUAUAUUCAUAAAGCAUCUAAGUUUUUUUUUUGGUUUUAUGGAUAUUUUUUACCUAAUAAACGACAAAAAAGACAGCCGACUACAUCAUAGUGAAUUCAUACUAGCUGCAACUUACUGCUGGAGAGGAACGGGUUCCACAGCACAGCGCAAAUGUGACAUUUGGGUCAGAUGAAUCCAGUCCAUAGAGUUCACGAGCAAUGGCUUCUUUAUCAUCCUUUUGGUAAAUCUAUAUGCAAAUUUAUGUAAUGUUUUUGAGUUUAAGACUACACCAGUUAUACAUGACAUAACUGCAUUUUUAUUUAGAUAGCGAUGCUUCUACCUCUUUUCUUAACGAGGAGGUUUGGUUUCUCAGUAUGAAAUGCUCAAUAGAUUGUGCAUUGAUAGUGUUUCCUCCAAUGUUGAGAGUAGCCUUCAAGAUUAUAUGGACCAUAUAUUCAUGAUGAAACCACGGUUGUUAUAUGCUAUAAGAAGUAAGUAAUUCUUACGAUGCUUGAAAGAUUAUUAAGUUACCUUGUUCAUUAAGGUGAGCAACUUUUCAGGACUAGAAGGAACUCCAUACUGCAGGAAUCCCUGAAAUUUACUCAAUUUACGAUGUAAAUGAGGCUGAUUAAAAGUAAUAUAUAUCCACACAAACACAAAUGAUAUUUUCAGAGAGAGUUGAAGCUUACAUGCAUAAUGCAAGCAUUGUACAUGUUGAUCCAGAAUGACAACUUCUGUUGGUAAGUCAUAAAUCUCAUAUCCAGCUUUUGAAGUCCAUUCAUCAACUCUCUUCAUGAAGUCAAAAUACUCGUGAAAAAGUUUAUUUUCAUAAUGUAAAAAGAAAAGAAAUAAAACAUAUGUUUCUCAGGCUUUCAUUGUGUUUGUGUUAGAAUAUAUGUUCAAUCUUGUACCUCAACUUCUGAAGCAGCGGGAAAGAACUAGAAUUGGAAAUGCAUUUGGGGUCCAAGGAGCUUGAGGUGAAUCGAACCAAGUGCUUGUAGGGGCCAAUAUCUCUUGGAAUGGACUCUUCCAUAUCAAAGAUACCAUAUGGAUCUUGUUGCCUUGAAUCUUUCUGCAACAUAAGGCUUGCUUUUGU
rnacentral:lncRNA from 1 species